GAUGAACGCUGGCGGCGUGCCUAAUACAUGCAAGUCGAGCGAACAGACGAGGAGCUUGCUCCUCUGACGUUAGCGGCGGACGGGCGAGUAACACGUGGAUAACCUACCUAUAAGACUGGGAUAACUUCGGGAAACCGGAGCUAAUACCGGAUAAUAUAUUGAACCGCAUGGUUCAAUAGUGAAAGACGGUUUUGCUGUCACUUAUAGAUGGAUCCGCGCCGCAUUAGCUAGUUGGUAAGGUAACGGCUUACCAAGGCAACGAUGCGUAGCCGACCUGAGAGGGUGAUCGGCCACACUGGAACUGAGACACGGUCCAGACUCCUACGGGAGGCAGCAGUAGGAAUCUUCCGCAAUGGGCGAAAGCUUGACGGAGCAACGCCGCGUGAGUGAUGAAGGUCUUCGGAUCGUAAAACUCUGUUAUUAGGGAAGAACAAAUGUGUAAGUAACUAUGCACGUCUUGACGGUACCUAAUCAGAAAGCCACGGCUAACUACGUG
rnacentral:rRNA from 1 species